rnacentral:rRNA from 1 species
AUUGAACGCUGGCGGCAGGCCUAACACAUGCAAGUCGGACGGUAGCACAGAGGCGCUUGCUCCUCGGGUGACGAGUGGCGGACGGGUGAGUAAUGUCUGGGGAUCUGCCCGAUAGAGGGGGAUAACCACUGGAAACGGUGGCUAAUACCGCAUAAUGUCGCAAGACCAAAGAGGGGGACCUUCGGGCCUCUCACUAUCGGAUGAACCCAGAUGGGAUUAGCUAGUAGGCGGGGUAACGGCCCACCUAGGCGACGAUCCCUAGCUGGUCUGAGAGGAUGACCAGCCACACUGGAACUGAGACACGGUCCAGACUCCUACGGGAGGCAGCAGUGGGGAAUAUUGCACAAUGGGCGCAAGCCUGAUGCAGCCAUGCCGCGUGUAUGAAGAAGGCCUUCGGGUUGUAAAGUACUUUCAGCGGGGAGGAAGGCGAUGUGGUUAAUAACCGCAUUGAUUGACGUUACCCGCAGAAGAAGCACCGGCUAACUCCGUGCCAGCCGCCGCAGUAA